UGGGGAAUAUUGCACAAUGGGCGAAAGCCUGAUGCAGCGACGCCGCGUGAGGGAUGACGGCCUUCGGGUUGUAAACCUCUUUCAGCAGGGACGAAGCGCAAGUGACGGUACCUGCAGAAGAAGCACCGGCUAACUACGUGCCAGCAGCCGCGGUAAUACGUAGGGUGCAAGCGUUGUCCGGAAUUACUGGGCGUAAAGAGUUCGUAGGCGGUUUGUCGCGUCGUUUGUGAAAACCAGCAGCUCAACUGCUGGCUUGCAGGCGAUACGGGCAGACUUGAGUACUGCAGGGGAGACUGGAAUUCCUGGUGUAGCGGUGAAAUGCGCAGAUAUCAGGAGGAACACCGGUGGCGAAGGCGGGUCUCUGGGCAGUAACUGACGCUGAGGAACGAAAGCGUGGGUAGCGAUCAGG
rnacentral:rRNA from 1 species